AAGCGGCAGAGGUUGGACCGAAUAACUUCCUCAUUAACUGAUCCAGGGAUACUGUAGUGAUGCCCGCGAGCAAUAAGCUACCAACCCCCAACCGCUCAGCAAAUCUGUCGUUGAUGGUCGUGGCUGGGCUGUGCAGCGCCUAGGUGUCAGUGUGAGAAGCUGCAUGGGCGAAAAGCAGGGUGUUGCUGAUGAAACGCCAGUGUGCUCUGUCAGCUCGGACAGGAUAAAUAAAUAAUGGGAGCGCUGCUAGAAAUUCAAGCUCUGCUGACUCAGCCUGGGAUUACUUCAUGUGGACUAUAUCACUACCUAUUAAAAAAUGAGCCAUGA